rnacentral:rRNA from 1 species
AUUGAACGCUGGCGGCAGGCCUAACACAUGCAAGUCGAACGAGAGGCGGACGGGUGAGUAAUGUCUGGGAAACUGCCCGAUGGAUGGGGAUACCUAAUGGUACCGGUUGCUAAUACCGCAUACCAUCGGAUGUGCCCAUAUGGGAUUUGCUAGUAGGUGGGGUAAAGGAUCACCAAGGCGACGAUCCCUAGCUGGGCUAAGAGGAUGACCAGCCACACUGGAACUGAGACACGGUCCAGACUCCUACGGGAGGCAGCAGUGGGGAAUAUUGCACAAUGGGCGCAAGCCUGAUGCAGCCAUGCCGCGUGUAUGAAGAAGGCCUUCGGGUUGUAAAGUACUUUCAGCGAGGAGGCGUUACUCGCAGAAGAAGCACCGGCUAACUACGUGCCAGCAGCCGCGGUAAUAC